AACGAACGCUGGCGGCAGGCCUAACACAUGCAAGUCGAGCGCUACCUUCGGGUGGAGCGGCGGACGGGUUAGUAACGCGUGGGAAUAUACCCAGUUCUAAGGAAUAGCCACUGGAAACGGUGAGUAAUACCUUAUACGCCCUUCGGGGGAAAGAUUUAUCGGAAUUGGAUUAGCCCGCGUUAGAUUAGAUAGUUGGUGGGGUAAUGGCCUACCAAGUCUACGAUCUAUAGCUGGUUUGAGAGGAUGAUCAGCAACACUGGGACUGAGACACGGCCCAGACUCCUACGGGAGGCAGCAGUGGGGAAUCUUAGACAAUGGGCGCAAGCCUGAUCUAGCCAUGCCGCGUGAGUGAUGAAGGCCCUAGGGUCGUAAAGCUCUUUCAACUGUGAAGAUAAUGACGGUAGCAGUAGAAGAAACCCCGGCUAACUCCGUGCCAGCAGCCGCGGUAAUACGGAGGGGGUUAGCGUUGUUCGGAAUUACUGGGCGUAAAGCGUACGUAGGCGGAUUAAUAAGUUAGAGGUGAAAUCCCAGGGCUCAACCCUGGAACUGCCUUUAAAACUGUUAGUCUUGAGAUCGAGAGAGGUGAGUGGAAUUCCAAGUGUAGAGGUGAAAUUCGUAGAUAUUUGGAGGAACACCAGUGGCGAAGGCGGCUCACUGGCUCGAUACUGACGCUGAGGUACGAAAGUGUGGGGAGCAAACAGGAUUAGAUACCCUGGUAGUCCACACCGUAAACGAUGAAUGCCAGACGUCAGCAAGCAUGCUUGUUGGUGUCACACCUAACGGAUUAAGCAUUCCGCCUGGGGAGUACGGUCGCAAGAUUAAAACUCAAAGGAAUUGACGGGGGCCCGCACAAGCGGUGGAGCAUGUGGUUUAAUUCGACGCAACGCGCAGAACCUUACCAACCCUUGACAUACUUGUCGCGGAUUCCAGAGAUGGAUUCCUUCAGUUCGGCUGGACAAUGUACAGGUGCUGCAUGGCUGUCGUCAGCUCGUGUCGUGAGAUGUUCGGUUAAGUCCGGCAACGAGCGCAACCCACGUCCUUAGUUACCAGCAUUUAGUUGGGUACCCUAAGGAGACUGCCGGUGAUAAGCCGGAGGAAGGUGUGGACGACGUCAAGUCAUCAUGGCCCUUACGAGUUGGGCUACACACGUGCUACAAUGGCAUCUACAGUGAGUUAAUCUCCAAAAGAUGUCUCAGUUCGGAUUGGGGUCUGCAACUCGACCCCAUGAAGUUGGAAUCGCUAGUAAUCGCGGAACAGCAUGCCGCGGUGAAUACGUUCCCGGGCCUUGUACACACCGCCCGUCACACCAUGGGAAUUGGGUCUACCCGAAGGUGGUGCGCCAACUAUUUAUAGGGGCAGCCAACCACGGUAGGUUCAGUGACUGGGGUGAAGUCGUAACAAGGUAGCCGUAGGGGAACCUGCGGCUGGAUCACCUCCUUUCUAAGGAUGAUCUUAGCUGAAAGUUUACUUUCACGUAGAUCACUUUUUAGCAGCUCUUAAAUGAGCUUUAGUAGUCUUCGGACUACAUUAUAGACCGAACCGUCCUCAUAUCUCUUCAGUAAUAAUAAUUUUGCAGGUCAUCGAUCUGUUAAGGGUCGGUAGCUCAGGUUGGUUAGAGCGCACGCCUGAUAAGCGUGAGGUCGGAGGUUCAAGUCCUCCUCGACCCACCAAAAAAUGGGGCGUUAGCUCAGCUGGGAGAGCACCUGCUUUGCAAGCAGGGGGUCAUCGGUUCGAUCCCGAUACGCUCCACCAUUUCCUUCAGAUUAUUAUAUCAAUUCCGAUUAGAUCAUUAAGAGCUGUGCGCAGUUUUUAAUCAUCCAAUCGGAUGGCGAACCUUCGGGUUCACUUUUACAUCGUUUAGAGAGCAUAUAAAACACGAGACGUAAGUUUCUUGUUUGAACCACUUCUUCGGGAGAGGUUAAUGAUUAAAUAUCUUAGGGCUGAAGAGCUUUGGGGCGCUAGAUUGUUAGCUGGUUCGCAGUAUCAUAGGUAACUAUGAAGCAUAAUCAGACUAGGGUGACCAACCCACUGUGCAUGUGCUGUUGGUGAGCGUUCCAGUGCGGUUCGCAAGCUAAUUCAAAGAUAAUUUACAGUCUUUCCAAGUCAAAUACACUAACCAAAGUCACAGUGAAUUAGAUCUACUGUGACAUGAAGGGAUGCUCGAAAGAGCAUUCAUUCGCUGGAAUGUGCGUGACCUUCCUGCCAAGGGAGGGUUACAUUUGAGUUCAAAAAUAAAUGUUGUUUUUGCAAUAGCAAAACAAAUGACGUGCCUAUCGCAAGAUAGGUGCUGAUGAACAAUUUUCUCAAAAAAAAAUGACGACUUCUGUUCUAGAAAUAGUCUGACUAUUUCUGGAUCAGAUCAAGCGCGAGAAGGGCGUUUGGUGGAUGCCUUGGCAGUAAGAGGCGAUGAAGGACGUGAUACUCUGCGAUAAGCUUUGGGAAGUCGAGAAUAGACGCUAUACCCAAAGAUCU
rnacentral:rRNA from 1 species